AUGGCUCACCUACCACCACACUCGCUCGUCCUCCUCUUCCUCGCCGUCCAUGUCUUCCUCGCCUCCCAUGGCUCCCCUCUUCCGCCGUCUAGCACCUACGAUGAUUCCAUUUGCUCGGAGUCGUUCAGGUGUGGCAGCGUUGACAUCACAUAUCCAUUCUAUCUGUCAAACGCCACUGAAGCAACCCCUGAUUACACACCCUACUCAUGCGGCUACACCGAUUUGAAGAUCUUCUGCCAAGGCGAGGGGAAGACCGCGAUCGCAACCCUUCAACUCGGCCGAGACAAGUUACACAACUACACCGUCCAGAACAUCUUCUACGAAAAUCACGCCAUCAUUCUGAGGGACACUGAAGCUUUAUUAGCGGCGGCAAGUGUCCCACGGUCACCCACAACGUGACAUUCGACAGGGAGUGGCUAAACUACACCGAGUCCUUGGAGGAGCUCACCUUCUUCUUCGGCUGCCACUCCACGGAGAGCGAUCAGCCGGCUCCUGAUCCUCCGCUAGACUUAGUUCCAGAUCGACUGCAAAGGGUUCAGUCCGCCUCCAGGCAGUGGAGACGGUUUUUCCUUCGUCUUCAGCUCUGAGGAAGGCAACGUUUCUCGGGAGCACGGACUGGCUGAGUACUGUAGGCAGAAGGUCAUCGUGCCGGUACUCCAGGAAGAUGCUGUGAGAAGUGGUCUGCUCGUGUUGCCGAGGGAAUAUGGCGUCGUGCUUGGACAGGGCUUCGAGUUGGAAUGGAAGCAAAGCAAGGAUCGGCAAUGCGAGCUGUGCGAGAAAUCUUAUGGACGCUGCGCCUACAGCGAGAAGAAGGAAUUCCUUUCUUGCUUGUGCUCCGGCGGGAUCUGCAAGAGCAAUCCAAAUCCUCCAUCAUCAGGUCGUCAAUACUCGAAGAAAACAACGAGAAUAUAUAUAAUAGCAGUCAGCUCGAGCAUACCUAUGCUAUGUCUACUCUUCUUUGCGUUCUGGUUGGGCUACAAGAAGUACGGAUGCAAAAGAAAAUCAAAGGAAACAGCCAGGAUUGAGUCCUACCUACAAAAGAAUGGAACGGUCCAUCCGAAAAGAUACGCUUACGCACAAGUGAAAAGAAUGACGAGAUCUUUUGCUGAAAAGCUAGGUCAAGGUGGGUUUGGUGCUGUUUACAGAGGCGACCUCUCUGAUGGUCGUCAGAUAGCAGUCAAGAUGCUAAAGGACUUCAAGACUGAUGGCGAGGAUUUCAUCAAUGAGUUAGCUAGCAUUAGUAGAACUUCUCAUGUCAACGUUGUUACUCUCUUAGGAUUUUGCUUGGAAGGAACCAAAAGGGCACUAAUUUAUGACUAUAUGCCUAAUGGUUCACUUGAAAGGUAUGCUUUUAAAGAUGGCUCCGAAGGUGGAAAUACUUUAGGUUGGGAGAAAUUAUUUGAAAUAGCAGUGGGAAUUGCUCGAGGACUUGAAUAUCUGCACAGAGGAUGCAAUACUCGCAUUGUGCAUUUUGAUAUCAAACCCCACAACAUUCUAUUGGACCAAAACUUCUGUCCAAAGAUCUCCGAUUUCGGACUGGCCAAGCUGUGCCUCAAUAAAGAAAGUGUCAUCUCCAUUGGUGGUGCAAGAGGAACAAUAGGCUAUAUUGCCCCGGAGGUUUAUUCCAAGCAAUUUGGAGCAGUAAGUAGCAAGUCUGAUGUGUACAGCUAUGGAAUGAUGGUUCUUGAGAUGGUUGGGGCAAGGGACAAGAAUAUCAGUCCAAACACUGAAUCUAGCAGCCAAUAUUUCCCACAAUGGAUUUAUGAACACUUGGAUGAAUACUGUAUCAGUGCUUCUGAGAUUAAUGGAGAGAUCACCGAGGUUGUGAGGAAGAUGAUAGUGGUUGGGCUGUGGUGCAUUCAGUUAAGUUCUACAGAUCGUCCAACAAUGACUAGAGUCGUCGAGAUGCUUGAGGGGAGCACAACCGGCCUCGAACUGCCACCAAAAGUGCUCUUGAGUUGA
rnacentral:rRNA from 1 species